GUAUUUCCAAAACAAAAUCAAACUAGAUUAUUGACACGGAAUGAAACCGAAAAGAAACCGGAAAUAUCAUGUCAAUAAAAACAACUCAAAGUACAGCUCUGUUUCAAUUCAAAGAAAAUAAUAUCAAAUCAACUUAUUUGUAUCGGAAUGAAUACGAAACAAAACCGAAAAUAACGUGUUAACCUUUCUCGUACCGACGAAU
rnacentral:lncRNA from 1 species